CCGUCGAUAGCUCAGUUGGUAGAGCGGAGGACUGUAGAAUUGCAGCUAUCCUUAGGUCGCUGGUUCGAAUCAGGCUCGACGGA
rfam:Dictyocaulus viviparus strain HannoverDv2000 D_viviparus-1.0_Cont293.21, whole genome shotgun sequence.